rnacentral:miRNA from 1 species
AAAGUGCUUCCUGUUCGGAUAA